AGGGUUCGAUUCUGGCUCAGGAUGAACGCUGGCGGCGUGCUUAACACAUGCAAGUCGAACGGGAUCCAGGCAGCUUGCUGCCUGGUGAGAGUGGCGAACGGGUGAGUAAUGCGUGACCGACCUGCCCCAUACACCGGAAUAGCUCCUGGAAACGGGUGGUAAUGCCGGAUGCUCCGACUCCUCGCAUGGGGUGUCGGGAAAGAUUUCAUCGGUAUGGGAUGGGGUCGCGUCCUAUCAGGUAGUCGGCGGGGUAACGGCCCACCGAGCCUACGACGGGUAGCCGGCCUGAGAGGGCGACCGGCCACAUUGGGACUGAGAUACGGCCCAGACUCCUACGGGAGGCAGCAGUGGGGAAUAUUGCACAAUGGGCGCAAGCCUGAUGCAGCGACGCCGCGUGCGGGAUGACGGCCUUCGGGUUGUAAACCGCUUUUGAUCGGGAGCAAGCCUUCGGGUGAGUGUACCUUUCGAAUAAGCACCGGCUAACUACGUGCCAGCAGCCGCGGUAAUACGUAGGGUGCAAGCGUUAUCCGGAAUUAUUGGGCGUAAAGGGCUCGUAGGCGGUUCGUCGCGUCCGGUGUGAAAGUCCAUCGCUUAACGGUGGAUCUGCGCCGGGUACGGGCGGGCUGGAGUGCGGUAGGGGAGACUGGAAUUCCCGGUGUAACGGUGGAAUGUGUAGAUAUCGGGAAGAACACCAAUGGCGAAGGCAGGUCUCUGGGCCGUUACUGACGCUGAGGAGCGAAAGCGUGGGGAGCGAACAGGAUUAGAUACCCUGGUAGUCCACGCCGUAAACGAUGAGUGCUAGGUGU
rnacentral:rRNA from 1 species